ensembl:lncRNA
CGCAUUUGGGAAACUGAACCAAUUGAAAUGAAGUUCAUUGGUUGACAGCUGUACAUAAUUUGCCAGCCAGGUUAGAAGGGUCUGGGUUUCCUUUAUGAGGUGCAACCAAAACAGCUGUUAGACAUAGCAACAGAUAUUCUGGCAGGGUGUCUGGCUAGCAUUAGUUCUGAAUACUGUUGUGGUUUUGAUCACUAAAAUGGCUGUGACUUUUGGACUCUCGUUGAGUGUUUCCUGGAUUUGCUGCCUGCUAAUUGGAGGGAUAACUUGUUUUACACUUAAAGGUAAUUCUCAUGGGCAUCCUGCCCACACUGGACCUGACCCAACUGGAUCCUAUGCCCAAGCAAGUGUGGUGCCUAGUCCAAAUUCUAAAGUUUCUGGCGACAAUGCAAAGUCACCAGAAGCUACUGGCCGCAAUUCCACUUCAGCAGAAGCUACUGGCCUCAAUGCCACAUCAGCAGAAGCUACUGGCCUCAAUGCCACAUCAGCAGAAGCUACUGGCCGCAAUGCCACAUCAGCAGAAGCUACUGGCCGCAAUGCCACGUCAGCAGAAGCUACUGGCCGCAAUGCCACGUCAGCAGAAGCUACUGGCCGCAACGCCACGUCAGCAGAAGCUACUGGCCGCAAUGUCACGUCAGCAGAAGCUACUGGCCGCGAUGUCACGUCAGCAGAAGCUACUGGCCACCAUGUCACGUCAGCAGAAGCUACUGGCCACCAUGUCACGUCAGCAGAAGCUACUGGCCACGAUGUCACGUCAGCAGAAGCUACUGGCCACGAUGUCACGUCAGCAAAAGCUACUGGCCACCAUGUCACGUCAGCAGAAGCUACUGGCCACCAUGUCACGUCAGCAAAAGCUACUGGCCACCAUGUCACGUCAGCAGAAGCUACUGGCCAUGAUGCCUCUUCAAGUGUGAAGUCCGGCCCCGGCGCCUCAGCAGAAGCGUCCGGCCCCGGCGCCUCAGCAGAAGCCUCCGGCGCCUCAGCAAUAGCGUCCGGCCCCGGCGCCUCAGCAAUAGCGUCCGGCCCCGGCGCCUCAGCAGAAGCGUCCGGCCCCGGCGCCUCAGCAGAAGCGUCCGGCCCCGGCGCCUCAGCAGAAGCGUCCGGCCCCGGCGCCUCAGCAGAAGCCUCCGGCGCCUCAGCAAUAGCCUCCGGCGCCUCAGCAGAAGCGUCCGGCCCCGGCGCCUCAGCAGAAGCGUCCGGCCCCGGCGCCUCAGCAGAAGCGUCCGGCCCCGGCGCCUCAGCAGAAGCGUCAAGCCUUGAACAGACGGCCCGACCACUCAACUAGGGAGAUCAUAAUAUGGUUUGCCCAACUCCUUAAUCGUCUUUCCCCUGUUACUGUGCCUCCUUUUGAAGAAAAGGUAACUGAGAUGGGGAAAUGUGCCAACUAAUUCUCUUGUUUGAAACGAGGAUCUCCUUCACUUGUGCAUCGCCAUGCAAAUUGUUUACAGGGGUGGACGCUACAAUGGUAGAAAUGUUUUUUAUAACCGUACGACUAAAAUGGACUUCUGAUUUGCCGGUAUUGGUGACACUUUUAGGUUCUCCGGUUAUCCUUUUGAUUUAGCCUGGUGUUCCUGCUACUCUUGCAUGAUUUGCUAAAUAAACAAUUUGAUUUUCAAUAUACCUUGUCCUUAAAAUAUUAUGUUCUCUUCUGCAUAACAUGUGCUUGCUGUUUGGGAAUGGUCUGGAGUAAAAGGGAAUGUGGAUCACAACACUUCUGUAAACAGAUUUGUUUACCUUUGUUUCUGAUGGUUCAAAUGCUCAAGUUCUCUAAAUUGUCAGAGCUCCCACAAAUGUUCAUAUUUACUUGUCCCUUUGUAGGGUGUUCGAUUUACACGAAUCUGCCUGUUACCAUAGGUGCCUGAAGAAUGUGAGUGCAGUUUACCUUAUGGUCCCAUUGCCUGUCACUAACCUGUCCCAGGGACGCUAAAGUUUCUCCUUGGCCUUAUUCAGAAACAAAUCAACUUGACACAUUGUGCCUGUUCCACAAUGUUGGUCUGGCCAGACACAUGGAUGAAAUCGUAUAUGCGUUCCUCGUAUUCAGCUGUAAAAAAUACUCUACUUGGAGUCGUUCAGACAUUCCUUAUGUCAACUCUCAAUGUGGUCUUCUGCACAAUCCAUUUCUAUCUGACCACAAUGAGGUUGUACUUGCAGAAGCACCUGGCAGGAACUUUUUGAUUUUAAAAGGUGCACUUAAGAUCUCACUUUGUACAAAAUUAUCUAGAGACGUAAAUAUGAAUUGUUUCUUAAGCCUGGCUGGUGACUAACUACUUUUGCUUUUUGUUAUCAAGGCUUCAAACAAUUUCAAGAAGCACUUAGCAUUCUGACAUUUUAGGAUUGUCAAGCAACUAUACUCGGGGGUAAAAAAAUACUCACUGUCAGGUGUUAAUUUUCAGCAAACUUAACAUACAAAGAUUUGUAUGAACAAAAGAUUCAACUGAGACAAACUAAACAAGUUCCACAGAUGUGACUAACAAAUGGAAUAAUGUGUC